UACGAAGGGGGCUAGCGUUGCUCGGAAUCACUGGGCGUAAAGGGUGCGUAGGCGGGUCUUUUAAGUCAGGGGUGAAAUCCUGGAGCUCAACUCCAGAACUGCCUUUGAUACUGAGGAUCUUGAGUUCGGGAGAGGUGAGUGGAACUGCGAGUGUAGAGGUGAAAUUCGUAGAUAUUCGCAAGAACACCAGUGGCGAAGGCGGCUCACUGGCCCGGUACUGACGCUGAGGUGCGAAAGCGUGGGGAGCAACAGGG
rnacentral:rRNA from 1 species